UCCGGGCACAGUGAAGCAUGCCUGUAGUCCCAGCUACUCGGGAGGCAGAGGUGGGAAGAUCACUUGAGCCCAGGAGUUCUGGGCUGCAGCGUGCUAUGCCGAUCGGGUGUUCGCACUAAGUUCGGCAUCAGUAUGGUGACCUCCCAGGAGCAGGGGACCACCAGGUUGCUUAAGGAGGGGUGAACCGGCCCAGGUCAGAAAGGCAGCAGGUUAAAGUUCAGAAAUAGUGUAACUAGAAUGAGUAGCUUCACCCUGUAUUUAAGAUUAAUUUUUUU
ensembl:misc_RNA Metazoa_SRP Metazoan signal recognition particle RNA